GAUGAACGCUAGCUACAGGCUUAACACAUGCAAGUCGCGGGGCAGCAUGGGGGUUGCUUGCAAUCCCCGAUGGCGACCGGCGCACGGGUGAGUAACGCGUAUCCAACCUGCCCUUCACCACGGGAUAACCCGGCGAAAGUCGGACUAAUACCGUAUGUUGUCCAUUGACGGCAUCCGAUUUCGACGAAAGGCUUGGCGGUGAGGGAUGGGGAUGCGUCCGAUUAGCCAGACGGCGGGGUAACGGCCCACCGUGGCUACGAUCGGUAGGGGUUCUGAGAGGAAGGUCCCCCACACUGGAACUGAGACACGGUCCAGACUCCUACGGGAGGCAGCAGUGAGGAAUAUUGGUCAAUGGGCGUAAGCCUGAACCAGCCAAGUAGCGUGCAGGAUGACGGCCCUAUGGGUUGUAAACUGCUUUUAUGCGGGGAUAAAGUGGCCCACGUGUGGGCUUUUGCAGGUACCGCAUGAAUAAGGACCGGCUAAUUCCGUG
rnacentral:rRNA from 1 species